ensembl:lncRNA
UUUAAAACAAAGCUUUUCACCUUUAGAUAUUUUUUCCCUCUGUAUGAGAAGAACAGAUUCCUUGCUGGCAUUUAUCUUCCAACAUGCUCUCUGGCACCUUGACCAAAAAAUAUUUUGAAACACGUCCCUUUUCAUCUUGGAGCUUUGUGCAUGCCAGCAACCCACCUUUUUAUUUUUUAAAAUAUUUUUUUAUUUAAAGGCUGAUUUUUUUUUUUUUUGCCUCUCCUUUUCUAGUUUCUUCUCCUCUGUGUGACCACAUGGUUUCAUUCACUGAAACAAACGAUUGCAAAAUGAGACAAACACUUUGACUUUGCCUCUGGCUCUCGUGGUUGCUGCACCUCUGAAGACUCCAUUCACCUCUAAUUACACGUCCACGGAAAUCCUGCAGAGAAGGAGCAGUGUAAAUCAUUAGCCCUCCUAAAUGAAGUGGCUUGUCAGUUUUGCCAUGAAAAGCCCCUGUAGAGGUUUGGAAUGAGUGAAGCUGAAGACACAAAUCCACGUUUUUGCCUCCUGUCAUUUUAAUGCUUCACUGUGGUGCAGCAUCACAGCAGAGUGAACAGAUUUGCAGCCUUAGAAACAGUAUAGAAGUCUAGUUAUGAAGGAAAUAAAAUGGCCUAAUUAAUUUUCCGCACCACUGGAACGGAGCUUCAGUGAAAUGGGGAAGGCACACAUUGUGGAUGGCAGAGAGCUGCCCUAGGACCAAGCCUCCAGCACUAUUUGGGAGCAAAAGGUGGAAUGAGACAGUAGGUGUGCAGCUCUCGAGGAGCAAUCUGGGCUCUGAUUCCUCAGAAACGUGUCAAUGUCGUUCUCUGUAUCACUGAAUUCUAAAAUCACAGUUUCAGCUGCUACAGCAUUUAUUGCAUUCAGUUCUCCUCUUUUUCUGAGGUUGAGUUCUUUAAUUUCCUGAAACUCAGUAUAAAAAUCAACACAGAAGGCCAGAACUGCUCCUUGUGUUCUAAAUACAUAUUCAAAAACUCAGCUAAUUAGUGCUCAAUUAAAAUGCAAGAGGAAUAUCCUUUAUUUUUAGGUUAUAUGGAUAAAUGAUUUACUUCCUUUACUGUUUCUGAAGAAAGCUCAGCCACUGCAUGCUGUUAGUGCCACUGAGAAUAAUAAAAAAGUCAUCACAAAAUGAUAUCUUGAUAAAACAUGACCUUUAAAGCUGAAAGCUGUGGGAGCAAACCAGAUAAAAAAUGUUUUCAGAAUGCACACAGAAAGGUCUGCAACGAAAGGAAAACUGAUUAUUCUCACAUUCUUAAUUAUUUUAGAAGAUUGGUGCAAUUAAAUUAGGUGCUAUUUUAAAACAGUGGGAUUUCAUCCCAUGCUGACCACAUUAUUCAUUUUCGAAUGAACUUUCCUUGUUUUCCUUUUACGAAAAUGUUGAUUUUUAUACACACGGUUUUCAUUUCUCCACACAUGCCACUAAACAAGGACAAAAAUUUUCACUGGAGGAAUUGAUUCCUAGCUGGUCACCUUAAGCCAUGUGGUCUUCCUCUCCCAUAAUUACUGACUAUGUCCUUAUCCAUUUGAAAGGUUUCUAGCAGCACACAACAGCUGGGGUCAUUCUUAUUGCUCCUGAGUAAUCUUGUUUGGUACA